UGUUUCGGCUAGGGGGUCAUCCCGACUUACCAACCCGAUGCAAACUACGAAUACCGAAGAAUGUUAUCACGGGAGACACACGGCGGGUGCUAACGUCCGUCGUGAAGAGGGAAACAACCCAGACCGCCAGCUAAGGUCCCAAAGUCAUGGUUAAGUGGGAAACGAUGUGGGAAGGCACAGACAGCCAGGAUGUUGGCUUAGAAGCAGCCAUCAUUUAAAGAAAGCGUAAUAGCUCACUGGUCGAGUCGGCCUGCGCGGAAGAUGUAACGGGGCUAAACCAUGCACCGAAGCUGCGGCAGCGACACUAUGUGUUGUUG
rnacentral:rRNA from 1 species